AAUGAACGUUGGCGGCAUGGAUUAGGCAUGCAAGUCGAGCGAGAAGGGUUUUGAAGCUUGCUUUAGAACCCGGACAGCGGCGAAAGGGAGAGUAACGCGUAGUUAUGUGCCCUAGGGUCCGGAAUAGCCACGGGAAACUGUGGGUAAUGCCGGAUAACAUCCCCGGAUCAAAGGUGUGAUUCCGCCCUAGGAGCAGACUGCGUCCUACUAGCUAGUUGGUGGGGUAAUGGCCCACCAAGGCAAUGAUGGGUAGCGGGUGUGAGAGCAUGACCCGUCUCACUGGGACUGAGACACUGCCCAGAAACCUACGGGUGGGUGCAGUCGAGAAUCUUCGGCAAUGGGCGAAAGCCUGACCGAGCGAUGCCGCGUGCGGGAUGAAGGCCCUCGGGUUGUAAACCGCUGUCGUAGGGGAGGAAGGUUCCGUGAAGAGCGGGACUUGACCUAUCCUAGGAGGAAGUACGGGCUAAGUUCGUGCCAGCAGCCGCCGUAAUAC
rnacentral:rRNA from 1 species